AUGAAACCUGGCUGCUGCCACCCAGGCCUGAGGCUGUGUGCUGGUGGCUGGUCACCCCGGUUCCUGCCCCACUCCUGGGGGUGUGUGGGGGAUAUCCUGGGGGAUAGCACGGGGCCAGCGCGGCUGACGGAGCGCCUGAGUGCCGCACAGCCUCCGCGGGCUGCAUCGAUCCGCAAGUCAGUUGCUCGCGUAAGCUUUUGGCGGAGUUUCUGGAUUUUUGUCAGUUCAGCUAACCUAUUAACCUCGUCUGGCCAGUCAGGAUCCCUGAGCACCCCACACCUCCUUCCUCCGCCUGGCAUCGGCAUGAGCCUGGGCAGAGCUCUGGCAUGUGGGCACCACGCUCGCCCCUUGCGCUGCGUGUCCCACGGCUGUGCCCCUUCUCACCUGGUCCACCCAGCGGGAACUUUCCCUUCCGGGCACGACUUUGCUCUGCACAAGACGUGUUGGCCCUUCCACACCAUACAUCUGCCCAUCGGCAUCGGUUUCCUGCAGCCUGAAGCGAGCCCCGUGCCGCAGAGGUCAGACUGCUGCAGGCAGCAGCUCCUCGGAUCCGUUUGGGAUGCCUUCUGAAAGGGUUGGCAUCAGGCUUGGUACAUCGCCUUCCCGGAAUACCACGUUGGUUUUGUUGAAACCUAUUUUGUCUGCGUAUUCUGGCAAGUGCAGAACAUGUUGGUAGCUCGUAAACAAGAACUCCUGAACACCAAAAUACUAGAUUAAAAUAUAAAUAUUUAAAAUUUUGGCUUAAACGAUUGGUAUUUGAAUUUCCAUUGGAAAAAAAAUCGACAUUUUCCACAAAAAGAGACAUGAUUUUUCAAACUGACCCUAAAACAAUGUCUCCUUAUGUGCGCGCACACAUACACAAGAAAUGUUAUCACUAAGUUGGCUGAAGGGAGCUUUUAUCUGCUUCUGGAAAUUUAAUAUUAGGUGUGUGGUUAUCAGCUCAGAUCAUCCACGGCUGAAACCCGAGAUUUUUCGAUGUAUAUAACCGAGCACCUUCUCCAUGCAGAGGCUGCUCCCCAGCCACCAGGUCUCUAACAGCGGGCUGGGGGGGCUGUGCUCCUGCAUCAGUGCUGGAGACAGGACGCGUGCACAGGCGCCUUGUAAGCUUGUCAGCUGUUUGUUUUCCCAAAUAUAUUUGUAUCCCUCCUUUUAGAAAAAUUCCAUAUAGGCAGUAAUACAGAAAGAGGAUAUUCUCCUCAUUUUCCAUGCAUAUUUUCUCGCAAAGCCAGGAGGAAAGCUGGCUGACUGAGGUAAUUAUUCAGAUAGCAGCAUCAAUCAUUAAUCACGGGAAUUCUCUCUAACUCCAAGCAAGGUAUUUCCAUGCCAAAUUCAGAACAUCUGCUCACUCAGGGAAACGGUCUUUGUGCAGUGCUGGACGGAGGGCUGGAAGCAAGUGGUGUGGAGACUUGUUAGCAAGCGCUCCCAGCCUGGAAGAGCGGCGUAGAGGAGCCAGGGUGGAUGCAGAAAGGAGCUGAGCUGCUCUUGACGGUGCUCCUGUGUCAGGAUAGCUCCCCGCUUUGGGCAGGGGCACUAGCAGGAGCAUUUUUGCACUGAAAAAUACUUGCCAGCC
rnacentral:lncRNA from 1 species